AUUGAACGCUGGCGGCAUGCCUUACACAUGCAAGUCGAACGGUAACAGGUCUUCGGAUGCUGACGAGUGGCGAACGGGUGAGUAAUACAUCGGAACGUGCCCAGACGUGGGGGAUAACGAGGCGAAAGCUUUGCUAAUACCGCAUACGAUCUAAGGAUGAAAGCAGGGGACCGCAAGGCCUUGUGCGUUUGGAGCGGCCGAUGGCAGAUUAGGUAGUUGGUGGGAUAAAAGCUUACCAAGCCGACGAUCUGUAGCUGUUCUGGGAGGACGACCAGCCACACUGGGACUGAGACACGGCCCAGACUCCUACGGGAGGCAGCAGUGGGGAAUUUUGGACAAUGGGCGAAAGCCUGAUCCAGCAAUGCCGCGUGCAGGAUGAAGGCCUUCGGGUUGUAAACUGCUUUUGUACGGAACGAAAAGGCUCUGGCUAAUACCUGGGGCACAUGACGGUACCGUAAGAAUAAGCACCGGCUAACUACGUG
rnacentral:rRNA from 1 species